rnacentral:rRNA from 1 species
UACAGAGGUCUCAAGCGUUGUUCGGAUUCAUUGGGCGUAAAGGGUGCGUAGGCGGCGCGGUAAGUCGGGUGUGAAAUUUCGAGGCUUAACUUCGAAACUGCAUUCGAUACUGCCGUGCUUGAGGACUGGAGAGGAGACUGGAAUUUACGGUGUAGCGGUGAAAUGCGUAGAUAUCGUAAGGAAGACCAGUGGCGAAGGCGGGUCUCUGGACAGUUCCUGACGCUGAGGCACGAAGGCCAGAGGAGCAAACGGG